rnacentral:rRNA from 1 species
GAGUGAGGGCCCUCUGGGUCCAACCUCCCACCCGUGUUUAUUUUACCUUGUUGCUUCGGCGGGCCCGCCUUAACUGGCCGCCGGGGGGCUCACGCCCCCGGGCCCGCGCCCGCCGAAGACACCCUCGAACUCUGUCUGAAGAUUGAAGUCUGAGUGAAAAUAUAAAUUAUUUAAAACUUUCAACAACGGAUCUCUUGGUUCCGGCAUCGAUGAAGAACGCAGCGAAAUGCGAUACGUAAUGUGAAUUGCAAAUUCAGUGAAUCAUCGAGUCUUUGAACGCACAUUGCGCCCCCUGGUAUUCCGGGGGGCAUGCCUGUCCGAGCGUCAUUGCUGCCCUCAAGCCCGGCUUGUGUGUUGGGCCCCGUCCUCCGAUUUCCGGGGGACGGGCCCGAAAGGCAGCGGCGGCACCGCGUCCGGUCCUCGAGCGUAUGGGGCUUUGUCACCCGCUCUGUAGGCCCGGCCGGCGCUUGCCGAUCAACCCAAAUUUUUAUCCAGGUUGACCUCGGAUCAGGUAGGGAUACCCGCUGAACUUAAGCA